ACUUCCAAACCUUAUUGCUGGAUCUAUAACAAAAGAAAGUGUAGACAAUGCUUUUGAGAAGGGAAUUACUUCUGAACAGUGUUGGUUGAAGAAACAAAAGGAUGUCCUAUUUCCUGCUUUACAAGAGACUGGGGAAAAUGUUAUCUGGACUUCUAGGCUUAUUUUUGGAAAAGGAGAGAAUAUCAAUUUCGGGUACUAUUUGCUGCCCUGAUUUAUGUUAAUAGCGGAGCUUAAGAUAUGCAGAGGACUUUCAGUUAUUGAAGGGAAAAACAGCGAAAUUAGAAGAACAAUAUGGACAUCCCAAGAAUAGCUUCCUUCGGAGUCGCCAUCCAUCCAGAGCCUUUUCUAGUGCUGAAGGCAGAACAAAUUAGAGGGGAUAUAAAGACUUAAAUAGGAGAAUGCGGUCAAGAUGUCUUUGAUAUAUGAAUCUUUUAGAACAGACUUGUACAUGUGAAUUGAUCAUAUUUUGAUGGUUGUGAAUUGAUCAUAUUUUGAUGGGUUGAAGUUGUCUUGUAACUACUUAUUUUUGAAUG